ACAAUACAGUUUCAAAUUACAGUAUUUUUCGGACUAUAAGUCGCUCCGGAGUAUAAGUCGCACCAGCCAAAAAAUGCAUAAUAAAGAAGAAAAAAACAAAUAUAAGUCGCACUGGAAUAUAAGUCG